AAAAAUUCCCUUCGAUCUUAUUCUUAAAUGAAAAUUAUCAGUUCAAAAAACAAAAAAAACUUUGGACUUAUUUUCGAGUUUACUAUUCUUUACUGGAUCUCAUAUGAUAAAAAGAAAUUUUAUUUGAUGAGAUGUAGAAACUCAUUGCAUAAUCUCUGAGGAGGUGUUCCUCCCAUUCUGGAAACCAAAAGCAUGUUGAUCAUAGCCAAGGAGAAUUGUAAAUGGGAGUAACAACAGAUUUAACUUGGAGGUACUUGUGGAGGGCUUCCAAUCCAAAAUCUCUUCCAAAGCCACUCAUCUUAUAUCCUCCACCAGGGCAGUCCUCAUCAAAGGCAAAAUAACAGUUUAUCCAAAUGAUGCCAGCGCGGAUUGAUCUCGAGACAGUGUUAGCUACAUUCAAGUCCUUGGUCACAAUGCCUGCUGCUAAACCAUAUCUUGUAUUGUUAGCGCUCUUAAUUGCCUCUUCUACAGUCUUGAACUUCAUUAGCGACAUCACAGGUCCGAAAAUUUCAUCCUUCGCUAUUAACAUGUCCUCCUGAACAAGUUGUUCAGAAAAUUAAACUUAAUACAGAUUAACUAUUACCAAUUAUUUGUCUUGAAAGUUGAAACUGUACCUUAACGUCAGUGAAAAUUGUCGGCUCGAUAAAAUAUCCCUUCUUGAAUAAAGGUUUACCCCCUGUUAAUAAUGUUGCUCCUUCUCUUUUGCCAUGCUCA
rnacentral:misc_RNA from 1 species